rnacentral:rRNA from 1 species
GACGAACGCUGGCGGCGUGCCUAAUACAUGCAAGUAGAACGCUGAAGGAGGAGCUUGCUCUUCUGGAUGAGUUGCGAACGGGUGAGUAACGCGUAGGUAACCUGCCUGGUAGCGGGGGAUAACUAUUGGAAACGAUAGCUAAUACCGCAUAACAGUAGAUGUUGCAUGACAUUUGCUUAAAAGGUGCAAUUGCACCACUACCAGAUGGACCUGCGUUGUAUUAGCUAGUUGGUGGGGUAACGGCUCACCAAGGCGACGAUACAUAGCCGACCUGAGAGGGUGAUCGGCCACACUGGGACUGAGACACGGCCCAGACUCCUACGGGAGGCAGCAGUAGGGAAUCUUCGGCAAUGGACGGAAGUCUGACCGAGCAACGCCGCGUGAGUGAAGAAGGUUUUCGGAUCGUAAAGCUCUGUUGUAAGGGAAGAACGAGUGUGAGAGUGGAAAGUUCACACUGUGACGGUAUCUUACCAGAAAGGGACGGCUAACUACGUG